UGCAAAAAGGGCAAGCCUGACUUUGAGGUC
rnacentral:piRNA from 1 species